rnacentral:rRNA from 1 species
GUGCCAGCAGCCGCGGUAAUACGAAGGGGGCUAGCGUUGCUCGGAAUGACUGGGCGUAAAGGGCGCGUAGGCGGAAGUGACAGUCAGACGUGAAAUUCCUGGGCUCAACCUGGGGACUGCGUUUGAGACGUUACAUCUAGAGUGAGGAAGAGGGUUGUGGAAUUCCCAGUGUAGAGGUGAAAUUCGUAGAUAUUGGGAAGAACACCGGUGGCGAAGGCGGCAACCUGGUCCUUUACUGACGCUGAGGCGCGAAAGCGUGGGGAGCAAACAGGAUUAGAAACCCUGGUAGUCC